rnacentral:lncRNA from 13 species
UGUAUUAAUUAUGCUGAGUCAAAGUAAGGAUGGAAAUUUAGAAGAUGUAUGAUAAAUCUACGUCUUAAUUCCAUUUGCUCUUCUCCCAGGAGAAGAGAAGUUCCAAAGGCAGAACAUGGGCUGCUGGAUGUGUAUUAGUGUCUCCAGGGAGGGGCCUGGCCCAGCUCUGAGGAAUGAUAGCCAGAUCCAUGUGCUCUCCCGGAGCUGGCACGCAUACAUGACCCAGCCAUGCUACUGGGAGACAUGACUGCCCUUCUCCUGGAGGUACUUUCCCCACCAGUCAACUACAGCUCCAGGACCAUGCCCUAAUCUACUUUGGCACUUUAAAAUCAGCUAGUUUAGCCCAAACUAAAUGAAGCGACAUGGUGGAUGAGCAGGUGAGAUAGGAAGAAGGCAACCAAGUAACAUCUAUAUUAAGGAAAGAGAGGAGGGGGCAAAAAUGUAGCCCCUCUCCAAGUCACUGACACUGUGAGACUGUCACUCUUGCUGUUAGAGGUGGAAAGCCUUAAAAACUUCCAUUUCACAAUUCUUACCUUCAGCUGCUUCAUUUUACAUUGUACAUGUAGUUAUAUUGAAGAGCUUCUGCUUGUGUGUGAUAAGCUCAGCUUGGGCUUGAGAACAAAGAGCUUCUGAGAACAAGAAUUAAAAAUGCUCUGACAGAGCAAAAAAGAUAAUCUUUAAUCCACUCCUUCAGAUGUAUAUGUCUAAGUGGUAGACACAUCUUGUUCUUUCACUGAUGUGGAAGAGGAAGAGAAUUUGUGCAGCGUGUUUGUACAUUUUGCCCCUGUUGGAGAGUUGGGAUGUUAUGAAUCUAUGUCAGAAAAAAUUUCUUUUGUGUGAAUCACCUUGUGUGUUUGUCUAACUUUCGGGUUUGAAUUAACUAUGCAUAUGUGAAACCAGGUAGCUUGACCAUGAUUGAUCACUAUCUAGUGGCAACCUGUAAAAUUUGGCCUUUGACAACAGUGCAGAAGAGGAGAAAUUAAACUAGAAAACAUGUCAAAAGGUGUGUGGCAGUGCUUCUGAAAGACAUAUCUGAUGGAUGGUCCUUUAACAAAGUAUUUUAAAUAUCUGCAAGGCAUCAUAAACACUAUAUUUUAUUUAUACAUCUGCUCUUUUUGCCACAGUAGACACUGUCAGCCCACUGAAACUGUCAGC